AUGGUUUGGCAGCACAUAUAUUAUAAUAUGAGCAAUACAGAAAAUAUUAGCAUAGCCCCUGAGCCAAGAUGACAUGCAAAUUUGUACAGCAUUCUGUAUUUUU